GGAAUAUAAGAAUUCGUCUCUUAACUUUUAACUAAAAAAGCUAAGAACCGGUUCUUAAAUAAGAGUUUUAAGAGCCGGUUCUUAACUUUUUAAGUUAAAAGUUAAGAGACAGAUUCUUAUAUUCC
rfam:Brassica napus, WGS project CCCW01000000 data, contig: 6688